UACGUAGGCAGCAAGCGUUGUUCGGAAUUACUGGGCGUAAAGAGUGUGUAGGCGGUGCUCUAAGUUCGGUGUGAAAUCUCCCGGCUCAACUGGGAGGGUGCGCCGGAAACUGGAGUGCUGGAGCGCGGGGAGAGGAAAGCGGAAUUCCUGGUGUAGCGGUGAAAAUGCGUAGAUAUCAGGAGGAACACCGGCGGUGUAGACGGCUUUCUGGACCGUAGCUGACGCUGAGACACGAAAAGCGUGGGUAGCAAACAGG
rnacentral:rRNA from 1 species